rnacentral:misc_RNA from 1 species
GGAAAUUUUAUUUUUCAAAGCUAAUAUGAAAGAUAUAAGAUAAUCGCCUAAAACAGUUAUGGGUCAAACAGCCAAGACUGCAAAAACCAAGAAAAUAUUGGCACAAUUAAGAAAUAUCCAAACAGGGAAAAGCAGAGAUCCCCACGCACUCCUUCUUGACAAGGAAAGUAGAGUUCUUUAUUCACUCCCAAACUUCUUAUUCAAUUCAAUUCAUCUUUCUCA